GCUUGAAAUUCUCCCCCUAAGAGGUGAAGAGGUUAGGGAAGCAGUGGCCUGAUGACCGCUGCUUUAUAAAUACGGAUUGCAGGUUCUCUUGUGAGAACCUGCAGUCCUAAAUGAGUGAAGCCUUUGAUAGAUUGAGCCCAUAAUGUAUUAGUGCGCAUUCAGAGCUUCACCAAUAAGCACCUAUAAAAAGGCUUACCAGACUUCCAGUUUGACUGGGAUUGUCCCUGUUUGGAGGUGCUGUCCCAGUGUCCCACACGAUUGUUCAUUCUGUCCCGGCCGUAGGGUUGUAUUGCCUGUAUUUUACUCAUUCUGGCAGCCGGUGCCAGAAUGAGUAAAAUACAGGCAAUACAAAAGCCAUUUUUUUUAUUCUAAGUCUGUGCCAGUGACGUCAUUUUAUCGGACUGUGUGUGUCCAUGCUGUCUCCUGUCUGCCUCUGAUGUGGCUGUGCUGCAAGAAUUGCUGCUUUUUCAAAGAUAACAUAAAAUCAAGAAAAAAGGAUAUUACAUGAAAUAAACUGAGUAGAGACACAGAAAAAUUUCAAAUAUUAGCCCAGUAUGUCCGGUAGCAUGAAGCAAAGGCUGACCAAUCAGAAUACAGCCGCCAUUUUGUGGGCGGUCCCGCGACGUCACGUUAGUCCCUGCGUCUGAUCGUCGCCAUCUAAAAAUCAGCCGCUCCUCCUUGAGUCUCCUGCUUCAGUUAUAAAUAUAACAUUUUAUUGUUGCAAGUUGCAUUUUUUCCUCACAUCUUGUUACAUUAUUGUAUUUCAACACAUUUUUUAUUUUAGUAUUAUAGCACCAUCUAUUGUUAUAAUUUCAU